ACGAACGCUGGCGGCCGUGGAUAAGACAUGCAAGUCGAACGAGAACUUUCGCUGUAGCAAUAACAGUGAAAGUUUUAGUGGCGAAACGGGUGCGUAAACACGUGGGCAAUCUGCCGAGAAGUGGGGGGAGGAUAGCUCGCCGAAAGGCGAAUUAAUACCGCAUAUGAUCAGGGAAGACAUCUUUCCGACAUCAAAGCCGGGGCAACCUGGCGCUUCUUGAUGAGGCCCGCGGCCUAUCAGCUAGUUGGUGAGGGUAACGGCUCACCAAGGCGCGGAUGACGGGUAGCUGGUCUGAGAGGGACGACCAGCCACAACUGGAACUGAGAACACGGUCCAGACAACCUACGGGUGGGCAGCAGGUCGAGAAUUUUUUCUCAAUGGGGGGAAACCCUGAAGGAGCGACGCCGCGUGGAGGAUUGAAGGUCUUCGGGUUUGUAAACUCCUGUCAUUUGGGAAACAAGGUGCACCGGUUAACUGCCGGAAGUAUUGAUAGUACCAGAAGAGGAAGAGGAAGAGACGGCUAACUCUGUGCCAGCAGCCGCGGGUAAUAACAGAGGUCUCAAGCGUUUGUUCGGAUUCAUUGGGCGGUAAAGGGUGCGUAGGGUGGCGCCCGUAAGUCAGGUUGUGAAAUUUUCGGAGCUUAACUCCGAAAACUGCAUUUGAUACUGCGGUGCUUGAGGAACUGGAGAGGAGACUGGAAUUUACGGUUUUGUAGCAGUGAAAUGCGUAGAGAUCGUAAGGAAAGACCAGUGGCGAAAGGCGGGUCUCUGGACAGUUCCUGACACUGAGGCACGAAGGCCAGGGGAGCAAACGGGGAUUAGAUACCCCGGUAGGUCCUGGCAAGUAAAACGGUGCACGUUUUGGUGUGUGGAGGAUUCGACCCCUUCUGCGCCGGAGGCUAACGCGUUUAAACGUGCCGCCUGGGGAGUACGGUCGCAAGAUUAAAACUCAAAGAAAAUUGACGGGGGGCCCGCACAAGCGGGUGGAGUAUGUGGCUUAAUUCGAUGCAACGCGAAGAAACCUUACCUGGCCUUGAACAUGCAUCUCUAAGUUGGUGGAAAGCCGGCGAGUCCCGAAAGGGGACAAUUUGCACAGGUGCUGCAUGGCUGUCGUCAGCUCGUGUCGUGAGAUGUUGGGUUAAGUCCCCGCAACGAGCGCAACCCCUGUGAAACUGUUGCCCACUCCCUUUGUUGGGAAGCACUCUGUUCAGACUGCCCUGUGAAACGGGGAGGAAGGUGGGGAUGACGUCAAGUCAGUAUGGCCCUUACGGCCAGGGCUGCACACGUACUACAAUGCCCAGUACAGAACGAUCCGAGACCGCAAGGUGGAGGAAAUCCAGUAAAACUGGGCCCCAGUUCGGAUUGGAGUCUGCAACUCGACUCCAUGAAGCCGGAAAUCGCUAGUAAUGCCGUAUCAGCUACGACGGCGUGGAAUACGUUCCCGGGCCUUGUACACACCGCCCCGUCACAUCAUGGAAGUUGCUUGUAGCCGAAGUCGGCGCGCCCAAACCCGCAAGGGGAAGCAGCCGCCUACGCUAUGAGCAGUAACUGGGAUG
rnacentral:rRNA from 1 species